AAGAAACAAGAGGAAAAUCAACGCAGGAAGGUUCUCACACAAAGAAGAAGGCUUCACAAGAGACCUGGAUAUUAAAAGCUAGACAGGAGUGGUGGAAGGAACACCCCAAGGCAGAGUCUCAAGGCUCUGAAGUUCGGGAAUGACAGAGACCCGAACUAGAGGCAAGAAUGGUGAUAAGUGACACAUUGGAAGCCUGGGGGCACAACAUCCUGACCUUAUGGCUUCCAAGACCUUCGAGCUGAUGAACCAAAGAGCCACAGAACCCAGGGAUCAAGAUCUCCAUCCACACGACACAGACUCUCUCUCACCCGUA